rnacentral:rRNA from 1 species
AGAGUUUGAUGGUGGCUCAGGAUGAACGCUGGCGGCGUGCUUAACACAUGCAAGUCGAACGGGAAACAUUUUAUUGAAGCUUCGGCAGAUUUAGCUUGUUUCUAGUGGCGGACGGGUGAGUAACGCGUGGGUAACCUGCCUUAUACUGGGGGAUAACAGCCAGAAAUGACUGCUAAUACCGCAUAAGCGCGCAGAACCGCAUGGUUCGGUGUGAAAAACUCCGGUGGUAUAAGAUGGACCCGCGUUGGAUUAGCUAGUUGGCAGGGCAGCGGCCUACCAAGGCGACGAUCCAUAGCCGGCCUGAGAGGGUGAACGGCCACAUUGGGACUGAGACACGGCCCAGACUCCUACGGGAGGCAGCAGUGGGGAAUAUUGCACAAUGGGGGAAACCCUGAUGCAGCGACGCCGCGUGAAGGAAGAAGUAUCUCGGUAUGUAAACUUCUAUCAGCAGGGAAGAUAAUGACGGUACCUGACUAAGAAGCCCCGGCUAACUACGUGCCAGCAGCCGCGGUAAUACGUAGGGGGCAAGCGUUAUCCGGAUUUACUGGGUGUAAAGGGAGCGUA